GGAAACGAGUUAUCUGAACCUUCGGGGAACGAUAACGGCGUCGAGCGGCGGACGGGUGAGUAAUGCCUAGGAAAUUGCCUUGAUGUGGGGGAUAACCAUUGGAAACGAUGGCUAAUACCGCAUAAUGCCUACGGGCCAAAGAGGGGGACCUUCGGGCCUCUCGCGUCAAGAUAUGCCUAGGUGGGAUUAGCUAGUUGGUGAGGUAAUGGCUCACCAAGGCGACGAUCCCUAGCUGGUCUGAGAGGAUGAUCAGCCACACUGGAACUGAGACACGGUCCAGACUCCUACGGGAGGCAGCAGUGGGGAAUAUUGCACAAUGGGCGAAAGCCUGAUGCAGCCAUGCCGCGUGUAUGAAGAAGGCCUUCGGGUUGUAAAGUACUUUCAGUUGUGAGGAAGGGGGUGUCGUUAAUAGCGGCAUCUCUUGACGUUAGCAACAGAAGAAGCACCGGCUAACUCCGUGCCAGCAGCCGCGGUAAUACGGAGGGUGCGAGCGUUAAUCGGAAUUACUGGGCGUAAAGCGCAUGCAGGUGGUUCAUUAAGUCAGAUGUGAAAGCCCGGGGCUCAACCUCG
rnacentral:rRNA from 1 species